ACUUCAGACUGCGAUUUGUCUUUCGCGAAUCUUUUUGCGGUCUGGGCUUGCUGUUCAUAAGUAUCUAGCUGGGAAGCCCUUACCCCAAAAAGCAUUUGCGGAAGGCGCAUUCACCGAAUGAUGCU
rnacentral:pre_miRNA from 8 species